UGUGUGUUUAUUUUUACUUUUUUAAUGUUCAGUGGUAAAUGGGGUGCUGUGUACAGUAUUUGAAUCUGUAAUGGGGUGCAGUACAGUAUUUGAAUCUGUAGUGGUUGUUUUGGGAUAUGCAAGUAGUAGAUUUUAAAGGUGUAAAAGGCAUAUAUAUAAUUAUAUAUUUUAAUAUUUAUUAAUUAUAUAUAUAAUUAUCUUUAUUUUUGGGUUUGCGCCUUACCUUAUUAUUUGACUCUAUAGUGAUUGUUUUGGAAUGAUUUGCAAGCAGUAGUUUUUAAAGGUGAAAAUGAGCAUGUAUAUAACUUUUUUUUUAACUUCUGGUGGUGGCAGUGUUCAGGGAUAAAUGCAGUACAUUUGAUAUAUCACUGAUAGAUGUUAUUGUGACUGUUUCAGGAUUAGUAUGUUUUUGUAGAUGGAAAUGUUUUGCAAUUGUUUGCACUUUUUGAGUGGAAAUAUGUGUAUUUUAUUUUUUAAUGCUGUCUUCAAGAAGUUAAAAUGUACUGCUUUGGGUAUUUUUUACAGUGGUUUAGUGGUGACUUGCAAGAACUACCUUUAAAGUGAAAAUGUGUGCAUAUAAAUUUAUUUUGGGGUGUGUUCAGAGGUAAACAUAGUGCAUUUGACAUUCUUCUAGUACAUGCUGUCGUGACUGUCUCAGGAUAGCUUGUGGAAAUUUGUGUUUUUUAUUUUUUUAACACUCACUUCAAGAAGUUUCAUAUGCACUGCUUUGGGUAUAGUGUGAAUAUUUCUAUACUGCUGUUAGGCCUUUUAUGUAUUUAUUUCUUCCUUGUGCUGGGUAAAUUACAACUAUAGGUUUUAUUUCCUUUUUUCUUAUUAUUUGCUGUAUUCGUAGAUAAAUGGUGUCCUUGGGGUCUGCUGUGCAUUGCAGUUUACAGCACCUGUUUAGUGAUGACUUGCAAGAAGUACUUUUAAAAGUGAUAAAAAUGCUUUGUGUGUCAGGGGAAGCUGUUGUGGAUUUGGAGAGGUCAUGACAUCAAGGCGGAAGCAGAAUGAAGAUUUCCGGAGUCUGUGGAAUCUUACGAUGAUGUAGCCACAGAUUACAAGUCUUGGAAGAGGGCUGGCACCAUGUGGUUGAAGUUCCCAGGGCAGAGCAAACUUUUUCAGGUAAUACCAAUCCCUUCCGAUCUUAUAAUGCAGGCAGAGCAAAACCUGCAAAUAAAAUGAAGGUGCGAGUGCCGUCAAUGGAAUCUGUUCUGCUGUAGGAAUGCUGCAGGAACACUUACAGCAGAGUGCGUAGGUUACAAAAUAAAAAUAAUAACGGUCAGUGAGCUCAUAUAAUUCUAAUGUACUAGUACGUUUAUAGAUCUCCAAAAUGUCACUAUGAAAGGAGGAUUUAAAAGGAAUUCUUACCCCAUUUAUGGACAUCAGUUCUACCACCCAGGAUUCAAACAGCAUGUCAUCACAAUCGCUUGUUUUAAUUGUUACACUGCUUGCUGUUAUGUAAUACACAUUUUCCAGCUUGGAACUCUAUGUUAAUAUUGAAAUAUAAUAAAUGUACUUUACUUUGAAUAUUGUAA